rnacentral:rRNA from 1 species
UACGUAGGGUGCGAGCGUUGUCCGGAAUUAUUGGGCGUAAAGAGCUCGUAGGUGGUUUGUCGCGUUGUUCGUGAAAACUCACAGCUUAACUGUGGGCGUGCGGGCGAUACGGGCAGACUGGAGUACUGCAGGGGAGACUGGAAUUCCUGGUGUAGCGGUGGAAUGCGCAGAUAUCAGGAGGAACACCGGUGGCGAAGGCGGGUCUCUGGGGACGGUACUGACGCUGAG